rnacentral:rRNA from 1 species
CGGCGUUGGGGGGGGGAGGCUAAACAUGCAAGUCGGGCGGUAACAGGAAGCAGCUUGCUGCUUUGCUGACGAGCGGCGGAAAGGGAUAAUGUCUGGGGAUCUGCCCGAUGGAGGGGGAUAACCACGGGAAACGGUGGCUAAUACCGCAUGACCUCUGAGGAGCAAAGUGGGGGACCUUCGGGCCUCACGCCAUCGGAUGAACCCAGGUGGGAUUAGCUAGUAGGUGGGGUAACGGCUCACCUAGGCGACGAUCCCUAGCUGGUCUGAGAGGAUGACCAGCCACACUGGGACUGAGACACGGCCCAGACUCCUACGGGAGGCAGCAGUGGGGAAUAUUGCACAAUGGGCGCAAGCCUGAUGCAGCCAUGCCGCGUGUAUGAAGAAGGCCUUCGGGUUGUAAAGUACUUUCAGCGGGGAGGAAGGCGUGAAGCCGAAUACGUUUCACUAUUGACGUUACCCGCAGAAGAAGCACCGGCUAACUCGGGGCCAGCAGCCGCGGUAAUACGGAGGGUGCAGG